GCGGGGAAAAUACAGGACAAGGGCGGUCCUGAAUGGGACAAACCAAUUUAGCCCAAUAUACGGGAUGUCCCUGCAAAUACAGGACAGUUGGCAACCCUAUGUUCAAGUUCAACAGUGCGUGACAGGGAAUGAGGAAAGGUGCAGCUGACUCAUAUCGUUUCCUCAUGGCCUAGUAUCGGUCCGCAGCCCGGUGGUUGGGGACCGCUGCUAUAGAAAGGGUGCACAGGAGGUUUACAAGGAUGUUGCCUGGAUUGGAGAGCAUGCCUUACAAGAAUAGGUUAAGCGAACUUGGCCUUUUCUCCUUGGAGCGACAGAGGACGAGAGGUGACCUGAUGGAGGCGUAUAAGAUGAUGAGGGGCAUUGAUCGUGUGGAUAGUCAGAGGCUUUUUCCCAGGGCUGAAAUGACUAGCAUGAGAGGGCACAGUUUUAAGGUGCUUGGAAGUAGGUACAGAGGAGAUAUCAGGGGUAAAUUGUUGUUGUUGUGGUGUUGUUUGUUUUUUUUAAACACGCAGAGUGGUGAGUGCGUGGAAUGGACAGCCGGCAACUAUGGUGGAGGCGGAUACAAUCGGGUCUUUUAAGAGACUCCUGGAUAGGAGCUUAGAAAAACAGAGGGCUAUGGGUAACCCUGGGUAAUUUCUAAAGUAAGUACAUGUUUGGCACAGCAUUGUGGGCUGAAGGGCCCGUAUUGUGCUGCAGGUUUUUUUUAUGUCUAUGCUUCUAUGAACUUAGUCUGGUUUUAGAAUUCGCAACACAGUGGACUCCAAAUUCACCCUACAGUUCAGCAAGAAUUAGAGAUGUACAGUACAAUGUGGGCCAGUAACAUCUAUCUUCAAUGAACAGUGUCAAUAGCUUUAAACCAUGCAAACAAUUCAGUCUUUCUUCCACAGAUACCUAUCCAGCUUCACUUUAAAGGCACCUGCUAAUUCAGUUUCCAUUACUUUUAUAUGUAUUGAGUUACUAAUCAUCACCAUAACUGCACAAGUUCUCUCCUUAACCCCUUCCUUGUAUCUUCACUAAGUGACGGGGUCGUGGAUUGUUACAGUCACUGUUCUGUUGUGAGUGAGGGGAGUCUGGGAUUGUUAUUGAUGAUGAUUUUUUCUGCAGGGCAGGGAUGGGGUUUUUUGGGGUAUACAAAUUUUGUUUCUUUUCUUUUUCAUGCCUUUUCUUUCAUCAACUUCCAUGGUCUUUCUAUAUUUCAUGGCUAUCUGGAGAAAGCAAAUAUCAGAAUUGUAUUGUGCAUGCUACUUGACAAUCCCAUCAGAAACUGCUGUUUUCCACCUGUAAACACACAAUUUUAAAUACUGCUUUAAAAUUUUCCAAUUGUUUCUGUUCCAACAAGCUCUUCCUAUCUAAGCUUGUUGUCCCCUUCUCUAAAGCCAUGAAAUAAGAGUUUAUAGAAAUGUACCACAUGUCAUGGGCCAUGUGCCAUGGCCCCAGUGUAUAAAGUCAAGGAUUGAAUAUUAAUUAAGUUUUGAAAAAGAAAAUCUGAAUGAAAUCUCACUCAGAUAGUGAAGUAAAGGAACAAGACUGGGUAAUGAAUAAUUAGAUAGCUUUUCUUAAAAGCAGAAAUGAUGGAGGGAAUGGCUUCUCUCUGGGGAGCAUCAGAAAUGAAGGACCAGUCAAGUGGGCGGAAUAAUACACAUGUCAUUGCUAAGCAAACCUGAAGCUCCGCCCCCGUGGAGCGCAGAGCCCGAGUACUCAUUCAUUGAACAGAGCCCGAGGGUUAACCCUCCGCCACAAAGGGAAAAGAUCGAGGAUCGCGGUUAACCGUCAGCUCCAGCUCGUCCGAACGCACCCCGGCCCCCUCAGGGAAGAACAGGAGCUGCCAUCCGGAAAACUGCUCGGAACUGAGUGAGAGGGGCAGUCGCAGGAAAGCCCUGAGCGCGGUAUGGGAACUCCAUGUUCCAGAACGCCAUUCGGAUGUAAUCCAGCUCGGCAUUUCGCACUCUGAUGGGUGUUGUAGUCUCUGUUCUGUUCCCAAGGACGGAAAAUUUAGGGUUCUUUUGAAGACUCUGACCUGGAGAUACAUGCUGACUUUGGUUCUUUGCGGGAAUGGGACCCACUCUUGGGGUCUCACGAAUGGCUGGUAUUCGAUAUACCAAGGAUGUAGCCGAGAAGACUUGCUCGCCUUCAGAGUUCCAGGAUUUUGUGGCUCUGGAGGCGGGCAGACUCGCGGACAGUGCCACCGCAGGAAACUGGUGUGUCAUGGGAGACAGAAUAUCGAAAACAGCAAGCUGGCUGCUGGCUGUGUGCCCAGAGACCAGAGUUCUUUGGGCACAGAGCUCGGAAAAAGCAAUACAAUGGACUUAUAACACUGUAAAUCAGUGAGUUGUUUGUUAUGUCUCCCCUCUCACUGUGAAACAGGGACAUCUCUUUCUCCCUUAUUAGGGAGAGAGAAAGCCUGUGGUAUGUCGAAUACCAGGCGAACGAGUAGUCUUCGGGGUACUACAAGUCUGU